rnacentral:lncRNA from 1 species
CCAAUUGAUACACUAUUAAAAAUAUGAGACUAAAAUCAUGAAACUAAAGUGAUUAAAAUAAACGACGGUCUAAUAUGUAGAAUAUUCUACAGAGAAGAAAAUUGAAAAAUAGAUUGUGAUUUAUAAAUAAAAAUAAGUGUAUUUUAUUUUUUAAUUUUAAUCCGACGGGCCAACUUGUUCCAUCUCUGUUGUGUUUUCUAGUGGAUUAGACGAAACGAGUAGCAGCCGUUUCAAAAUCUUAACUUGAUCCACAAGAAAAGCAGGUUAAACGGAUCGAUCUAACAUAUUGAUCCUUUUGUUAUCUUGUAUAUGGAAAGUUGGAAUAUACUCCGUUUAAUGGAUGUUUCAUUUAAUCCAUUUAAGGUAUAGAGGUAAGACAUGUGACAAUUAAACAUCCAAGGAUUAAAUCCCUCAACAAAAAGAAAACAUCCAAUGUUUAAUAUUUUAAAUUAAAAAAAUGAACAUUUGUUUAAUAAAACAGAUUCCUUCAUCUUCCAUCUUUAUCAACACCACUGUCCCUGAACAUUUGUUAUCCUUCUCCACUUUAAGCCUCCUUCACCGUCGUUGAUCUCUCAAACUCGAUUCUCUGACUGAUUGCAACACCUCUCUACUCCCAAAUUAGUUUUCUAUUAUCCCAAAUUGUUGAUUUCUCUUAGACCCAUCACUUUCUUGUAGUCUUAAAAUUCUCAGACCUAAAUUUCAAUUUAUCUUGGGUUCUAUUUCACCGUAAUCAAUUCUCACUGCAUCUUGAGAAUUUCUCAAUUGAGUAUCUCACUUUCAAAAUCAAGUAUCUCAUUAUUAAACCAAAUUGUAACAAAUACAUAAAAAUUGAGUAUCUCACUUUCAAUCGACGACAAUGAAGGAGGGAAGCGGCAGGGAGGGAGGGAGAGAGACGAUGAUACAAAUAAAGAUGAAAGAGGAUGGGACUCGUUUGAGAGAAAGUGGGACAUGCAUUUUUUUUUAUUAAACAAAUGUUUAUAUUUUUAAUUUAACAUCUCAACUGGAAGAAAUUUAUUUGUUACAUGCAAAUGAACAUGAAGUGUUAGAAAUGGAGCAUACAUAAACUCAUAUAUACACGGAGAGCGGUGAAGAUCAAAAUAAAAAGAAGAUAAAGGAUAGGAAUGGGAUGUGGAAAUUAGAUGGCAAGUCAAGUCAAUGGGCCAGCCAUCGAUCCG